UUGCGCAGCCAAAUGGCUGCGACAUCGUCUUCAAAGCCUAAAAAUGUUGUCCCAUUUUUGCUGCUACAACUUUGUCACAAUGUCAUAAUGACGUUAUAGCAGUGACUGCCAUGGACAAAAAUGCUGCGAUUUAAGCUGAGACAACGUUAUCGCAGACGUUUUAAAGCUUCAUGUGUUACUUGGGGAGUAUUUUUACAUUAAUC